ACGCUCGACACCUACGGGAGGCAGCAGUGGGGAAUAUUGCACAAUGGGGGAAACCCUGAUGCAGCGACGCCGCGUGAGUGAAGAAGUAUUUCGGUAUGUAAAGCUCUAUCAGCAGGGAAGAAGAUGACGGUACCUGAGUAAGAAGCCCCGGCUAACUACGUGCCACAGCCGCGGUAAUCUGAGCGGGCUGGCAAGGC
rnacentral:rRNA from 1 species